rnacentral:rRNA from 1 species
CAGUAGCCGCGGGAAUACGGAGGGAGCUAGCGUUGUUCGGAAUUACUGGGCGUAAAGCGCGCGUAGGCGGUUACUCAAGUCAGAGGUGAAAGCCCGGGGCUCAACCCCGGAACUGCCUUUGAAACUAGGUGACUAGAAUCUUGGAGAGGUCAGUGGAAUUCCGAGUGUAGAGGUGAAAUUCGUAGAUAUUCGGAAGAACACCAGUGGCGAAGGCGACUGACUGGACAAGUAUUGACGCUGAGGUGCGAAAGCGUGGGGAGCAAACAGGAUUAGAGACCCCCGUAGUCCCUGUCUCUUAUAC